GGCAAUUGCCACGGAGGGCUCUGUAGAGCCGGGUCCAGCUGCGGAGUUGGCCUGAGAGAGGGGGCACGCUGCCAGGGCCACCGCAAAUCCCGGGAGAGGCCCGGGGUGGCUGACGCUGUCCGGGGGCGUUCCUGGGAGCUAGUGGCCGAGGAGGUCAGACCCGAAGACCCGGGAGGAGCCGGCCGGCUGCCACGUGACCAACUGCGGCGGGGCGGGCGGCCCAGAAAUAGCAGCGGCGGCGGUUCCGCCCGCGGGCGCCGCGAGGAAAGGCGGAGACUGGAGGACUCUGGCUCCGCGCGGACGCGGCGCGGCGCGGCCCCGGCCCCGGAGGAUGCUGAGCCCCUACCCGGACCGACCCCGAGCACAUGAUGGCGAUACGGGAGCUCAAAGUGUGUCUUCUCGGGGUUGGCCGUGGCUGACAGGCUCUUGUUCCCUAAUGAAGUGUCAGUGUUGGCAGGAGUCUGGGAAAGGAAGGCUGCGUUCCAGUGAUCAUUGGUCCCUGGGCACCACCAGGUGGAAUGUGGAGGACACUGGGGUUGGGAAAUCAAGCAUUGUGUGUCGAUUUGUCCAGGAUCACUUUGACCACAACAUCAGCCCGACCAUUGGGGCAUCUUUUAUGACCAAAACUGUGCCUUGUGGAAAUGAACUUCAUAAGUUUCUCAUCUGGGACACUGCUGGUCAGGAACGGUUUCAUUCACUGGCUCCUAUGUACUAUCGUGGAUCCGCUGCAGCUGUCAUAGUGUAUGAUAUUACCAAACAGGACUCAUUCCAUACUUUGAAGAAAUGGGUGAAAGAGCUGAAAGAACAUGGUCCAGAAAACAUUGUAAUGGCUAUUGCUGGGAACAAGUGUGAUCUCUCAGAUAUAAGGGAGGUUCCCUUGAAGGAUGCGAAGGAAUAUGCUGAAUCCAUAGGUGCCAUCGUGGUUGAAACAAGUGCAAAAAAUGCUAUUAAUAUCGAAGAGCUCUUUCAAGGAAUCAGUCGUCAGAUCCCACCCUUGGACCCCCAUGAAAAUGGUAACAAUGGAGCAAUCAAACUUGGGAAGCAAACCACGCAAGCCAGCCGUCGGUGCUGCUGACCGGGGCCACAACCCACUGUACUUGAAGAAGCCAGAGCCACCUCCCCAUGCACUGCUGAAGGACCCCCGUUCUCGGUGGCCCGGCACCUCAAUUAGAGAGAAGUGAGCACUCUGGCUUGGCAUCCUGGAAGACCUGCAGGGAAUGAGACAGGAAAUGUCCUUGGAAAAGGAUUUGAGGAAACUCUGGAAAAAUCCACCACAUCGCCUUUCAUGCAUGAAAUGCACACGGGAGGGAAUGGAGUUAGGUUACAGGAAAGCCAGCCAAGGAAAGUACCAGCACCUUAAGAUUCUAGACCCCCAACUGCAAAAUUGGAGAAAGGAUGUGAGAAGAUGCCAAACCUGGGGAGGUAGGUAUUAGGGCUAAUAACGGGUCUAACUCUGGAAUGCCAAUUAACUGACAAUAGGCUUUAAGAAAACCUUCCUUUUCAAGUUCCCUGUCUGCUCAGUUAAUAAAGAUAUAAGAAUCCAAAGGCAGUAAAGGGAGAAAAGGCAUGGAGAGGAAGAAAAGCUAUUUCCAUUCUGAAUUCAAAUCCUAUUACUAUUCUAACUUCCAUAAAAACUUGAUAUCAAGAAGCAGUGGUUUUCCUAUUAUGGCUUAUGCUGGGAGGUGAUUCUUAAAGGAAAUUCUGACCCGUGCCUUUUGUUGUGGCUAAGAAACUAUAAAGAAUGGUCUCAGAAAUGGUUAAUCAUGCAGCGUGGUCCAGCCAGUACCUUCUGUGCUACGAACAUUAAAGAGCUUGCAAACAUUUAUUGAAAACCUACAAUGUAAAAGCCAGGAGAGAGACCGUGAGCUGAUUACAGACCUCAAACUUGGAGUACUCAGUGCGAGUUGGCGCUUCACAGUCUUGUCAGGGCUGUGCCCUCUGUGCUCUUGACACAUAGACACUGAGUCCUGCCAUUGAUAAAAAGGAAGAGUCCUUGGGAGACCAAGGCCAAGUUUAUAGUUCUUUAUGUGGACAGUAAUCAAGAAAACAAGCGGAAAUCACAGAUUAAGGUUUUUUUAACUUAAGACUAUGUUGUCAAUUUGAUGUUCUUACUGCUUCACCCAACUUGCAAGAGUAGUUUGACAAUCUUAGAAUGUGAAGGUUGGAAACAUUUAUUUUGGGUUCACGAGUGCCUCUGAGCAUUCCCAGACGGGUACCUCAAAAAAUGUUAGCAAGUGGCAUUUAGAUGUCUUGGCAGGGCCUUUGCAGGGGUUUUUAGGAUUUUCUCCAUAUUAUCAAUAUUACUUGCUAACAUGAUUCUGCUUGCAGGCCAAGCAAUUAUCAUAUCUCUUUCCAAAAUUCAAAAAUUUGGGAUGAAAAUUGAAAUGGCCUUCCCAGGUGACAUGCAAGCUUUUUUUGGAAACUUUCCUCAUCCACCUGUCCACGAGAACCUGGGUUCAUCUCUACACAGCCUUUCAGGUUGCCUAGCUAAGUUGGUAUGCAUCCCAGUGGAGUUACGCAGCUGUGGGCUGGGUCUCUGAUGGUUGCAUCCUGCAUAAAACGUCUGGUCUUAUCCACACGUAAGAGAUAACUACGAACAAACCCAUGGUUUUAUUUCAGAAAUACAUGAGGGUGUGAAGCCACUCUUUUCUCUUUCUGUACUGCCUUCCCUAUUCAAGCCAGUCAGCUGAGAACAUAUAUAAUAAUGAUUACUUGGAGCAAUGGGUGAAGAAAGUAGGUGGCACUUGGGCACACAAGCCUUCAUAUAAACAGUCUUUUCUGCAGGUAGAUGUUUGAGCCUUGUCCAGGCUUUCUUAUCUUCCUUUAUUCUGCCUUGAGAUUACUUUCUGGAUGUUCUAAUAAUUGAACUAUAACCAAGUAAUAGUAUGUAAAGGCCUGGAAAUUACUGUUGCUCCAAAAUGUCUAGUAGCUUCAUGUGAUGUAGAAUCGUCCACAUAAUUUCCCCAAAUUUGCUUUUUCUUCUCUGUUUUUUUUUUCUUCUUUCAUGUGCGGUAUGUUUAUAUGUGUAAAUAUGUUUUCAUAUUUGUUACGCCAACAUAUAAUCCAUUUCACUGGCUGAGUUUGGCUCAUGACUGUGUGUUAUAUAAUGUAGGCGUAAGUUGUCAUUGGGAUUAUUGCCCAGUGGAAAGCCAUAAGAUGGCAGUAGAAUUAUGCAGACUUUUUUUGUAGGUACAUAAUUGACUUGCCAUUUUAUAAUUGAAAAUGGUACACUAGGGUGCUGAAUAUGACGUUACCUUGUAGACUAUGAAAGGUUGAAGACUUAAAACUAUAACCUUUAGCCAACAAAAGGGCUGUGCCCCAAUCAGAAUUGAAUUCAUUUUCUGAGGGAGGUUUGGAUGACUGAAGUACUUCCUCUAAGAUCAAGGAAUAUGGCACGUGAUGCCUCAUUGAGGUCCUUGUAGGGACUCCACUUCUCAUGGCUUUGUAAUGCUCAUAGCAAGUUGAAUAAUGAGCUAGCUUAUAAAAGAAAAGUCUCUGAGCUGUAUUCAGACCUGUUUGUUAUCUAGUUUACUCUUUCAACCAUCAUCGUUGAAACCAGACCCAGUGAUCCAAUGUCAGUGCUCUGUUGUGUAAACCACUCCUUUUUUCUCGUGUUUUUAUAAAGGGCUUCUGUCUGGGCUGGACCCAGUUCUCGCAUAUAGAAGAUGCUGCUGCAGACAAUUAGGACCUUUCCACCUUGUAUUCUAUAGUAAAGCAUUGCCUCAACAUCGCCCAAUUGUAUCUGUUAUUUUUGGUUUAACACACAUUGAUUCAUACUAAUAAAUAUUUUAAGUUUUA